AAAGCUAAGCAAGAUACUGAAAAGUUCUUUGAAGAAACAGAGAAUUAACAUAAACAGGUAAAGGUUUUGCAUCCCCUCUGAAGAAAAAAAUUGUUUCUUCUCCAAGUUUAUCAGCACUCAUUUGGAGUUAGAACAGCCUGGAGUGGUGCCCUGGAACUGAUUCCUGAUGUACCGGAACUGUGUCCCUGGCUAUACAUUGAUGUCAGCGGGCAGUGGGGGAAAGUAAAAGAGGAAAUUGUUCGUACAGAGGAUAUAACUGUUGUGAUUGAAAGAGCUCAUCAUGGAACAAGGAAAAGAUUGCUGCUGCUUAUGUGAGAGCAGACACUUGAUUUCAGUGCAGAAUUGUGUCACUGCAACAUCAGAAGUAAAGGAGGAAAUAAAAAACUGUAAGAGCAUGAAACCACUGCAGAUUUUCUGAACUGUGAGAAACGGUUUCAAUGGAUAUCCUGGCAACUGAGGCGGUUGCAUGUGAUUUCUGUGGACUGAGUGCCUGACUUUCUCAUUGUCUUUUGCUCAUACUGGAUUUUUCCUCUUCCUAAAAUAACUUGGUCCUGGGAAUGAACCAUUCAGCAGCCUGGAACUUGAAACUCAAACUGAAAAAAAGGGCAGAAAGACUAGCAGUGGUUCCAUUCCAAUUGAGUCACCGACUUCCCUUCAGAGACUGCCUUCAAAUUGGUUCAAGUUACAGUAACAAUUUUCAUGAUAGAAACACAGGUUUGGUUGAGAACUGGACUGAAUCUUCCAAGUGUCUGUUUGCUCUUCUGUGACUGUAUAAGGAUGUUUUUUCCACCUGUGAUGACUGCUCUUGAUUCUUUGUUGGCCCUCUCUGAGUUUUGGUUCUGAGGUGAGGUUGUAAAAUGGGUGAAAGCAUUUCAUGUCCAGACAUGCAAAGGGGCUUUCAAGUAGCCUCUCCCCCAGGGACAGGAAUGUCUUCUGUUGUGGUGAAUUGCUAAGAGAUGGCUCUUGCCGUGUAAUGCUGGAACAGGAUGCAGCAGGAAAGUCACAUGCACACAAAGUCACCAGGCAGCUCAGUCUUGAAACACCUACAUCAGAGCAUAAAGUCUGUUAGUGCUUUUCUGGAUUUAGUCCCUUCCUGCAGUCUUGUUGCUGUGCAUUUCCUACCUCAGGGAACACAGGUGAACCUUCACCAAGCCACUGCUGCACAUUCUGUAGUUUCCCUUGCUGACAAGAGCCCAGAUGGUUCCAACUUUAAGUAAGAGUGUUUUGUUUUGUUUUGUUUUUAAACAAACAAACAAACAAACAAAAAGUUAGGAGGCUUAGCUGAUGUUUGAAAAACUGGCCUUACAGCAAGCAAAUUAACACAUUGGAUUAAUUUGGCUUGUCAAAAGAAGAGCAAGAGGAGAGUAAAUUACAACAUGUUAAAUGGAAAGCAAAUAUUUGUCAGAACAAGUCUCUUCAAACUGUGCUACAGCAAGAUGAGUGGGAGCUCUGGGAG